GGCCACGUAGCUCAGCGGUUAGAGCGCAGCAUUCAUAAUGCUGAUGUCGGUGGUUCAAAUCCACCCGUGGCCACCA
rnacentral:tRNA from 1 species